CCUACGGGAGGCAGCAGUGAGGAAUAUUGGUCAAUGGACGGAAGUCUGAACCAGCCAUGCCGCGUGCAGGAAGACGGCUCUAUGAGUUGUAAACUGCUUUUGUACAAGGGUAAACCUGAAUACGUGUAUUCUGCUGAAUGUACUGUACGAAUAAGGAUCGGCUAACUCCCUGCCAGCAGCCGCGGUAAUACGGAGGCCCCAAGCGUUAUUCGGAAUUAUUGGGUUUAAAGGGUGCGUAGGCGGAUUUAAAAAUUAGAGGUGAAAUGUCCGAGCUUAACUCGGGAACUGCCGCUAAUACUGUUGAGCUAGAGAGUGGAUGCGGUAGGCGGAAUGUAUGGUGUAGCGGUAAAAUGCUUAGAGAUCAUACAGAACACCGAUUGCGAAGGCAGCUUACCAAGCUAUAUCUGACGUUGAGGCACGAAAGCGUGGGGAGCAAACAGGAUUAGAUACCCGAGUAGUC
rnacentral:rRNA from 1 species